rnacentral:rRNA from 1 species
GACGUAGGGUCCAAGCGUUGUCCGGAUUUACUGGGCGUAAAGAGCGCGUAGGCGGCUCGUUAAGUGUGAAGUGAAAUCUCCAGGGCUCAACCCGGAAACUGCUUCGCAUACUGGCGAGCUGGAGUGAUGAAGAGGUUUGUGGAAUUCCUGGUGUAGCGGUGAAAUGCGUUGAUAUCAGGAGGAACACCGAUGGCGAAGGCAGCAAACUGGUCAUCAACUGACGCUGAGGCGCGAAAGCGUGGGUAGCAAACAGG